CUUGCAGAAACCCAUAUAUUUUCCAGCACUCCAUCCUCACUGUCAAAACUGUCAAGAACAUAAAGGGUCUGAGAUUGUGCCCUACUUGCAAGGCAACAAGUUAACCUGGCAUAGUUUCAUGUAUGCUGGUAGAAGCUAUGAGGCUCCUGAUUCAGAGGACUUUUCCUUAGUUCAGCUAAAGGUGGGAUUCCUGUCUGUCCCAUGACUGUGAAAAUUUAGGCUCACAGACAGUUUAACAGAAUAUCCCCAAGCAUGAUACAUAAAGAACCCUGCUGGAUGAUCCAUUAGAGAGUCAAGUAAUAAUUAAGAGAUCAACCUUUGGACAAGAGCAUCAUAUUAUGGUGCCCCCUGGACUUCAUGAAAGGUGGAAAGACACUCUGGAGAAGGACAUUGGGACAGUGAGAUUUUUUUCAGUAGAGAAAGAAAAUAAUCUUCUCCAACUUGCAGUAAAGAACACAGAUCAUUAGUUAGGCACACAAGAGAGAAGGAGAAGGCAAUGGAAAGAUGGAUGCAGACAUGACAGUGAUAUAGCCACAAGACAAGGAAGCCAAGGAUUGCAGAAAGCCACCAGAAGUUGGAAAGAGGCAAAGAGGGAUUCUCCCUUAGAGCUUCCAGAAGGAGUCUACUUUUACCUAUAUCUUGAUUUUGGACUUUUGGCUGACAGAAUUGUAAGAGAAUAAAAUUCUGUUGUUUUAAGACAUCUAAUCUGUGAUAAUUUGUUGUGGCAGCUGUAGGAAACUAGUAUAGAUUUUGGUAGGGGGAAGUGGAGUGCUGCUGUAACAAAUGCCUAAAAACAUGGAAGUGGUUUUAGAAAUGGAUAAUAGGUAGAGGCUGGAAGAAUUUUGAGGCCAAGAUAGAAAAAGCCAAAUUAUGGUGAGUGCUCAGAAGGAAGUGAGGAACAUGCUAGAGAAAGCUUCUCUCAUCUUCGAUAAUACAUAUAGUGACAUGAGCAAAAAUGUUUCUGAUAAGAGCUCAGAAGGAAACAAGGAGCAUGUUAUUAUAAACUGGAGGAAAGGUAAUCCUUGUUAAAUUAGUAGAAAAAACUUUGGCCAAAUUGUGUCCUAUAGUUGUAUGGAAAACAGAACUUGUAGGUGAUAGCCUUUGAUAUUUAGCCAAGGAAAUUUCCAAGCUAAGUAUUAAUGGU
rnacentral:lncRNA from 10 species